rnacentral:rRNA from 1 species
AUUGAACGCUGGCGGCAGGCCUAAAACAUGCAAGUCGAGCGAGCGGCGGACGGGUGAGUAAUGUCUGGGAAACUGCAUGAUGAAGGGGGAUAACUACUGGAAACGGUAGCUAAUACCGCAUCCGAUAAGAAAUGCACAGAUGGGAUUAGCUAGUAGGUGGGGUAAUGGCUCACCUAGGCGAAGAUCCCUAGAUGGUCUGAGAGGAUGACCAGCAACACUGGAACGGAGACACGGUCCAGACUCCUACGGGAGGCAGCAGUGGGGAAUAUUGCACAAUGGGCGCAAGCCGGAUGCAGCCAUGCCGCGUGUGGGAAGAAGGCCUUCGGGUUGUAAAGCACUUUCAGCGGGGAGGCGUUACCCGCAGAAGAAGCACCGGCUAACUCCGUGCCAGCAGCCGCGGUAAUAC